GAUGACAGUGUUCUUAAUGUGUGUUCUGUUGGUAAAUGUACUACAAUUCUCCACGGCCGACAAUACAGCUGCAAUGGAGGCAAAAAUGAAGUCAUUAUUUAGCGACUUUGGGACUGUGAAGGAAAAAUUAAAGACGUGUAUUGAAACCUGCAAAAAGGGAUGCAAAGGCAAUAACAAAUGUCAUUCUGAUUGUGAAACAAAUUGUGGCAAAAAGGAAGUUGCUGAUAAAUUUAAUAUCAAAAUGCCAAAUUGAGAACGGGAUGAAUAAUGAGCUUUGAAGAUCAAUUUGACGUAGGAAGAUCAAAUAUAAUUUAUUUAAAUAAAGUUUAUGAGAGAAAUUCUUAAAUUCUUUUAUCCUCUUUCAUUUUUUGUAAUGUAAUUUAUUUAUUUUGUUAUAAAGUAUUCUUUGAUAUUAACCUACAAAAAUUCAAGA